CCAUCUGGAUCGAGUCUCAGAGGUAAGUCUCAUUGAAGAAACAUAGAAGGUGGAAAGGACAAUCAAGUUGACAAAGGAUACUAUCCCCCUACUAGCUAUCCUCCGCCACCACCUCCGGCUAGUGCAUAUGCCUCCUAUCUUCCAAUCGCAUAUCCAUACAACUAUCCAGCUCAAGGACUAGGAUAUUAUCCACCUCUGGGGUCCUAUUCAUAUUCUCCAUCCGUGUGUCCCCCACAUGGACACAAUGGUUACUCACCAUCUGGAUAUCCACCAUAUGGUCAAAGUGUUUAUCCGCAUAUCAAUAGCUAUCCUGGUCAUGGAUAUGGCAGUAUGAGCCCGGUUCUCGCUGGAGGGGCGGUAGCUGCAGCAGCAGCAUAUGGUGUCUAUCAUUUAACUCAUGGGCAUCACCACCAUGGCCAUCAUUUAGGAUAUUUUGGCAAGUUCAGGCACUACCCUCAUCAUGGACACCAUGGUAAGUUCAAGCAUGGCAAGUUUGGGAAGCACAUCAGAUUUGGAGGGAAACAUGGUUUCUUUGGUGGAAAAUUUAGGAGGUGGAAAUAGUUAAAUUGUAGAGGAGAGCAUGCUCUUGGAUCAUGCACGUUUCAAGUACGAUGAUAUCAUCUCCAACACGAAUUGGCUGAUAUCACUACGUCAGGACAGGGAUGUAGUAACACACAUAUGUGUUACUAUAUAUCAAUAAAUGUGUUACAGAGGUUUGUAGUAACAUAUUUGAUAUGUAUCCUUGUUGCUUAUGUUACUACGGUAGAGUCUAUUGUUGCACAUAAUAGUUGUUUCUAUAUGUAAUAAAAGGUGUUACAACUAAACUAUAGUAACACGUAUGAUAUAUGUUACUAUAGAUAGUAGUAACACAUUUUUCAUACAGUGUGCAUUUUUUAGGGAAAAAAAGCAACUUGUGAGAAUCGAUCUAGGAUGCCUCCCUAGCAAGCAAAGUGUAUUACCGCUGCACUAUUAUGUCUUAUCAUUAAUAGUUUUUUCUAUUUUUUCACAUAGCUUUCCUGCAUAUUGUGUGUUCCUAUAGCGAUUCUUUUUGUAACACCUUUUAUACA